rnacentral:lncRNA from 1 species
GAACUCAGGACCUCUGGAAGAGCAGUCAGCAGCUCCUAACAGCUGAGCCAUCUCUCCAGCCCAUGAGUGUUCUUAACCACUGAGCUCCAGGUCUCACAAACAUGACACCACAUAUUCACACCUUUGGAGGAAACAUGACACCACAUAUUCACACCUUUGGAGGAAACAUGUACACCACAUAUUCACACCUUUAACCACUGAGCUCCAGGUCUCACAAACAUGUACACCACAUAGUCACAGCUUUGGAGGGGAAACAAAGUCUUCUGUGGCUUAUAUCACCACACCCUACCUGAUCCUGGUGAAAACCUAAAUUUGAUCAUGCCUCACUUAUGCCACGAAUAGGGCAGAUAAUUUGAUGUGUGAGUGUGUAUGUGUAAGAGUGUGUGUGUAUGUGUGUGUGAGAGAGACAGACAGACAGACAGACAGACAGAGACAGAGAAUGAGAGAGAG